CCCGCACAAGCGGUGGAGCAUGUGGUUUAAUUCGACGCAACGCGAAGAACCUUACCAGGGCUUGACAUCCUCUGACAGCCAUUGAAAGGUGGUUUUCUGGCUUCGGUCAGACAGAGAGACAGGUGGUGCAUGGUUGUCGUCAGCUCGUGUCGUGAGAUGUUGGGUUAAGUCCCGCAACGAGUGCAACCCCUACGUUUAGUUGCUAACGUGUAAAGAUGAGCACUCUAGACGAACUGCCGUUGACAAAACGGAGGAAGGUGGGGAUGACGUCAAAUCAUCAUGCCCCUUAUGUCCUGGGCUACACGCGUGCUACAAUGGCCGGUACAAAGGGACGCAAAGCCGCGAGGUGGAGCAAAUCCGAUAAAAGCCGGUCUCAGUUCGGAUUGCAGGCUGCAAUUCGCCUGCAUGAAGUCGGAAUCGCUAGUAAUCGCAGGUCAGCAUACUGCGGUGAAUACGUUCCCGGGUCUU
rnacentral:rRNA from 1 species